UGAAAGAGAAGGAAAAGAUCAGGUAAGUACAUGGGCUUAUGCAAGACCUGGUUUAGAAAGUGAAAUGAGACGCUGGGCUCCAUGAGAGCGCUCUCUUGCUCAUUAAACAGAAGUGAACAAAAGGGUAAGUUUUUUUCUACUUAAUGUUAACGGUCUUAGACAGAUGUUACUUGGCAAAGACUCUUCCCCAGCCUACUUCGGCGACUUCUUUUAAGUCUGAUCCCUGCACGUCUCUGCUAAGAGAGCUUCUGCUUUGAUGCUAAGUCCUGAGAUUGUAAAGCUGUUUAAUAGCUGAGCAGCUGCUUACGUAUGGCUGUGGCUCCCAGCCAGCACGCUAUAAGGGAAAUGCCUGAUGUGCAUGGAAAGAUGGGCCACCCAGGGUGCAGGAGACACCUGGCAGACAGAGCAGCAUAUGGUACCUAUACAUCAAAACGGUGACUGAGGCAUUGUAGGGCUGGGGAUGGAAAGGUCCCUGCCUGCCCUGUGACAGGUGCCACGGUGGGGCUGGGUGCAGGGGUGCUGGGGGCUCAGUUCACAUUUAAACCCAGUUCAAGAUGUUUUAAGAACACACCAUAUCACCCCCAAGGUCCAGCUGAAUGGUGUCCUUCAGCAGGAGGUCACCAGGCACAGCACUGGGGACUGACGUCACCCAUGGCACCGCACUGUCUGGUUAUGGGCAGAGGCGCUUGAGGGCUGUGGAUGCAAUGUGGAUGGCCGUUCCUUUUAGCACCAAGGCCAAAGAAUCAGGACCAAAAGAUCUGCAUCCCGUGCUCUAAAGAGAGAUGUCAAUGUAGGCUGUAAUCCUGCAUCACCCACCUGAGGACACUUCUUUGAUGCUUGGCCCAAAAGUGUCUGAUGCAGAUGCCGGUGAAGGCAGUGGGGGCUUUGCUAAGGCACCAGGAUUUCAGCUGGUGGGUUACAGUCCCCAAACCAGGUGCCAACACCAUCCUGCAGUGUGUGAAUUCCCCGAGGUGAGAGCAGCCACCCCAGGAGCCGUUCCCCACUUACUAACCCAGCACCUUUGAGGUCCAAGCCCCACCUCUCCCCAGCAAGGAGCACGGCUGUGUCCAGCUCACCACAGGCACCAGCCCCUACAAAACACCCUUCCUGCACCUCCAGCUAAUGGCUGCAAGUGUUACCCUUAAUUAGCACACUGCUGAUUGCCUUUAAUUGCCGGCUGUAGCUCAGCACUGAGCAGGAUGAGAGCUGGCUGUCAGCAAAAAAAAGGACUCAGCUGGUCCUUGACGAGGAUAAACAUCCUGCGAGCCUUGUGCAAGGCGACUGGUGCUGCUGGGAAAACAUCCCUUCAGAGGAGAGACCGAAGUACCCAAACCUCCCACUGAACCCGCUUUCAGGUACCCGCCUGGCCUCAUCAGUUCCUGGAGAGACGCACACAGAUUUUCACCUUUUCACUGUUUCCAUUUUGCAAUAAGUUUUUCCCUGCCUAGGAAGCAUUGGGCAACUUCUUCCUCUCCCAACCCCCUGCUAUUACAUGCUUAGUCAUGUCUCCUCCUUGAUUCCUAUCAGAGAGAACAAAUUUGCAUGAUUGUUUGUUGACAGCAAGACCUCUAAUUGCAUCAUUUGGCUGCAGCUCCAGCUCUGAUUUACACAGCCUGUUGCCAUGAGUUAAAACACUUCCCUACCAGAGAUACACAAAGCUGUCCCCAAACAGCUAAUGCUCCAUUUGUCUUUCGGGAGAAGGGAGGCUGCUCCGUGCGCACGGGCGAUGGGAAGCAGUUGGGAAUGGCCCAUGAGGAAGGUCUGUGCAUUGCAACGAGGCUACGGCAGCCACGUCCCUCAUCGGGGAGCAGCUCUUGAGGUCCCAGCUGAUUCUGGCAUUCUCAUUUGAACACUGCCCAUCUGAUGCCACUUGAUGAGGAAGCACGUGGAACCACAGGACCAAAUCCAUUUAAUGGGGAAAGAAGCCCAGCGCACUGUAAUGGUGUUUUGAGAUGUUAUAAUCACGACUGCCACCACCAAAUGCCCUCAUUCAAUGUCACCCUUAUCUCAUAGUUCAGAGAAUUUCUCAGAAUUUCAGAAAAUAGCACCUCUACCUACAAAACACUCAAUUAUCAGCAUGAUGGUGAUAAUAGGUGAUUGUCAUCUGUAAUGAGGAAAGCUUUCAGAACUGUCAGCACCCAACCAGCCUCCUAUCUACCUCGGAGUCAUCCUUCCAGCCUCCUGAAAGGAUCUUGGAAAAGAAAUGACAAGCAAGUAGAUGUUAUGCAGCUUGUGAGCAGCAUUUCAGGGGGAGAAAGGGCCAGGAUGCAGAUCGCUGACUUCUGUUGGUCUUACAAGCGAGGCCACAAAGCCCAGCAAGGACUUUGCUCCAAGUCCACUGUACAAGACACAGCAUCCAUCAGCAAGAAGCAGUGCAGGUCCAUCAGCCCAGGGAGCUGCCACCGCCCUGGGUCGCGUUCUCAGCUUUGCUGCCAGCCUGUUCCCUGACCUUGGGCAAGUCUCCUCCAUCCCUCCCGGUGCUAUUGUGCACCGAUCAUAAUAACAGUCUUUCUUAUAGCACCGAGGGUGGUGAGGAUUAAUGUAUGGUGAGAAAGUGCUUGGAUAUCCAGAUAAAAGGCAUUACAGGAGUGCAAACUA